rnacentral:tRNA from 1 species
CGGGAUAGCUCAGUUGGUAGAGCAGAGGACUGAAAAUCCUC